rnacentral:piRNA from 1 species
AGAAAGUUGGUUUUACCUGAAGAACU